GUGCCUUAUCUGCAAGUGAGCGCAUCCUUCGGGAUGAGCGGCGGACGGGUGAGUACGCGUGGGAAUGUGCCCUUCUCUACGGAAUAGCCACUGGAAACGGUGAGUAAUACCGUAUACGCCCUCAGGGGGAAAGAUUUAUCGGAGAAGGAUCAGCCCGCGUUAGAUUAGGUAGUUGGUGGGGUAACGGCCUACCAAGCCUACGAUCUAUAGCUGGUUUUAGAGGAUGAUCAGCCACACUGGGACUGAGACACGGCCCAGACUCCUACGGGAGGCAGCAGUAGGGAAUCUUGGACAAUGGGGGCAACCCUGAUCCAGCCAUGCCGCGUGAGUGAAGAAGGCCCUAGGGUCGUAAAGCUCUUUCGCCUGUGAUGAUAAUGACAGUAGCAGGUAAAGAAAUCCCGGCUAACUCCGUGCCAGCAGCCGCGGUAAUACGGAGGGGGUUAGCGUUGUUCGGAAUUACUGGGCGUAAAGCGCGCGUAGGCGGAUUGGAAAGUUGGGGGUGAAAUCCCGGGGCUCAACCCCGGAACUGCCUUCAAAACUCCCAGUCUAGAGUUCGAGAGAGGUGAGUGGAAUUCCGAGUGUAGAGGUGAAAUUCGUAGAUAUUCGGAAGAACACCAGUGGCGAAGGCGGCUCACCGGCUCGAUACUGACGCUGAGGUGCGAAAGUGUGGGGAGCAAACAGGAUUAGAUACCCUGGUAGUCCACACCGUAAACGAUGAAUGCCAGUCGUCGGAUAGUAUACUAU
rnacentral:rRNA from 1 species